AAACCAUGUCGAGGACAUUUUCACAGGAGAUCAUUGAACCUAUCUCAUGUCUCAAAAAGAGACUUCAAUUCCAUUUGCACAAAAGAAGAUAUCUCAUUCCUAAGCUU